rnacentral:rRNA from 1 species
AGGUUACUGCUAUCGGUGUUCGCCUAAGCCAUGCGAGUCAUAUGUUCGUAAGAACAUGGCGUACUGCUCAGUAACACGUGGAUAACCUGCCCUUGGGUCCGGCAUAACCCCGGGAAACUGGGGAUAAUUCCGGAUAACGCACAUAUGCUGGAAUGCUUUAUGCGUAAAAUGGAUUCGUCUGCCCAAGGAUGGGUCUGCGGCCUAUCAGGUAGUAGUGGGUGUAAUGUACCUACUAGCCUACGACGGGUACGGGUUGUGAGAGCAAGAGCCCGGAGAUGGAUUCUGAGACAUGAAUCCAGGCCCUACGGGGCGCAGCAGGCGCGAAAACUUUACAAUGCGGGAAACCGUGAUAAGGGGACACCGAGUGCCAGCAUCCUAUGCUGGCUGUCCGGGUGUGUAAAAUACACCUGUUAGCAAGGGCCGGGCAAGACCGGUGCCAGCCGCCGCGGUAACACCGGCGGCCCGAGUGGUGAUCGUGAUUAUUGGGUCUAAAGGGUC